rnacentral:rRNA from 1 species
UACGUAGGGUGCGAGCGUUGUCCGGAAUUAUUGGGCGUAAAGGGCUCGUAGGCGGUCUGUCGCGUCGGUAGUGAAAACUCAGGGCUUAACCCUGAGCCUGCUUCCGAUACGGGCAGACUAGAGGUAUGCAGGGGAGAAUGGAAUUCCUGGUGUAGCGGUGAAAUGCGCAGAUAUCAGGAGGAACACCGGUGGCGAAGGCGGUCUCUGGGCAUUACCUGACGCUGAGGAGCGAAAGUGUGGGGAGCAAACAGG